UGUAUAUUUUUAUGUUAAGUGUUCUUGUAAGUCUUAGCCUCAUAUUGGAAUUGGGAUGGAUAAUGACACAACUCGACCACACAAUUUACUAAAGAAACUACUCUGCAUGAUAAUUCUGCUGCUACUCAAAAGGCUACUCGCCAAAAUAAAAUGGAUUAUAUAUACCCAUUAUACCUUGCCUUACGACAGUCAUAAAUACCUUGCCUGAGGAUAAUACAUUGAAUAAUACAUUUAUAUACAUACAUUACAUACAUUAUAAGACUUUGCCAGAAAGAUUGGAUAGUGUUAAUU
rnacentral:sRNA from 1 species